rnacentral:rRNA from 1 species
AUGGGCUUCCCCGUGGGGUACUCGGAGCUGCUGCUCCCCCGGCUGCUCCUGCAGGCGCUCCUCCUCCUCGGCCACCUCCACCGCUUCCUCCUCUGGGCCUUCCAUGCCGUCGGCCUGGGCGACCUCAUCGACCUCGGCGGCAGCGCGCCCACCGCCACGGCGGAGGAGGCGCAGUGGCACGCGCACCGCGGGCCGGCGCCCUCGCCCUCGCUGCAGCACCGGCGGCCCGACUUCCGCGCGCUGCCGCCGAUGGCCGCCGUCGAGGAGGCGCUCCCCGUGCUGCGGUUCGACGAGCUGGUGGCGUCCUCGCCGUCCGUGUGCGGGGACGGCGACUGCGCCGUCUGCCUCUGCAGCAUCGGCGGCGGCGACGAGGUGCGGCGGCUGCCCAACUGCCGCCACGUCUUCCACCGCGGCUGCAUCGACCGCUGGAUGGGGCACGGGCAGCGCACCUGCCCGCUCUGCCGCGCCCCGCUCAUGCCCGGCGACGCGCUCUGGGCCGACCUCCCGGACGCCUCCGACUACGACAUGUCCUACCCGUCCCCGCUGCCGCUGCCGGCCACCCCGACCCUGCUGCGCCCGCACGAGCUGCUGCUCAACGGCCUCGGUGGCUUCCAGUGA